GCCUAGGGAGGCAGCAGUAGGGAAUCUUCCACAAUGGGCGAAAGCCUGAUGGAGCAACGCCGCGUGGGUGAAGAAGGUCUUCGGAUCGUAAAACCCUGUUGUUAGAGAAGAAAGUGCGUGAGAGUAACUGUUCACGUUUCGACGGUAUCUAACCAGAAAGCCACGGCUAACUACGUGCCAGCAGCCGCGGUAAUACGUAGGUGGCCAGCGUUAUCCGGAAUGAUUGGGCGUAAAGGGUGCGCAGGCGGAACCAUACGUCUGAAGUAAAAGCCAUCGGCUCAACCGAUGUACGCUUUGGAAACUGU
rnacentral:rRNA from 1 species